AAGGGUGAGGUUGGAAUGCCAGGCUGUGUGGGGGAUCCCAGCCAUCGGGCACCUCACUAUGGCCCCCCGGGCCACGAGAGUCUUCAGUCCAAAAGAGUCCCUCAGAUAAACCUUCGAGGUGGGCGAAGAGUCACGGAAGCAUGGAAGGAAAGACACACAGAAUGGCCCAAAACCAAAGAAGCUACAAAGAGAUCGGAGGAAAGGAAGGUGGGCUAGUGCCCUUCAGGACUUCCCAGCCUGCUGGGGACAGGCACCAGGGAGGGCACUCAAGAUCGUUCACCUGCUCUGGAGCAGCUCACGAGGUGAUGUACUGAACAUGCAAAAUUCCCAGCAAAAAUGUCUCCCCUGAAUCUGAUCCGGAGGAAACAUCCUACACACCCAAAGGGAGGGGCAGUCGACAGAAGAGCAGGCCUAGACGCUUCCAAAAAGCCCAGGCCAUAAAAGACAAAGAUCGAGGCACUGCCAGAUUCUAGAAGACCCCACAAGAAGCCCUGGUCUCGCGAGUGGGUAAGCAUUGGACUGUGAGCCCAAAGGUGGGCGCUUCCUCCUCACCGGCUGCUGCCAUGAAGAUGUGCCGUCUCGGAAGCCCUACAGGGCAGAUCCAUUCUGUCCUCAUAGGGGCUCCAAGAGUUGGGAUCAACUUGACAGCAGUGGGUUGAAAAGAAACAAUUAAAUGCAACACGUGA